rnacentral:rRNA from 1 species
UACGUAGGGGGCAAGCGUUGUCCGGAUUUAUUGGGCGUAAAGAGCGUGUAGGCGGCCAGAUAGGUCAGCUGUGAAAACUCGAGGCUCAACCUCGAGAUGUCGGCUGAAACCAUCUGGCUAGAGUCCGGAAGAGGAGAAUGGAAUUCCCGGUGUAGCGGUGAAAUGCGCAGAUAUCGGGAAGAACACCCGUGGCGAAGGCGGUUCUCUGGGCAUUACCUGACGCUGAGGAGCGAAAGCGUGGGGAGCAAACAGG